GACGAACGCUGGCGGCGUGCUUAAUACAUGCAAGUCGAACGGUGAGGGCGGAGCUUGCUCUGCUGGUUGAGUUGCGAACGGGUGAGUAACGCGUAGGUAACCUGCCUGGUAGCGGGGGAUAACUAUUGGAAACGAUAGCUAAUACCGCAUAACAGUAGCUGCUGCAUGACAUUUGCUGAAAAGGUGCAAUUGCACCACUACCAGAUGGACCUGCGUCGUAUUAGCUAGGUGGAGGGGUAACGGCACACCAAGGCGAGGAUGCGUAGUCGCACGGCGAGGGGGGGCAGCCGGACUGGGACGGUGACACGGCCCAGAGGCCUUGGGGUGGGAGCAGGAGGGCAUCGGCGGCCAGCGGUGGAAGUCUUACCGCGCAGCGCCGCGUCAGGAAGGAGGAUCUUCGCAUCGUAAAGCUCGGUUGUAAGGUAGUAACGAGUGUUAGAGUGUAAAGAUCACUCUGUGACGGUAACUGACCAGAAAGCGACGGCUAACUACGUG
rnacentral:rRNA from 1 species